UACGAAGGGGGCUAGCGUUGCUCGGAAUCACUGGGCGUAAAGCGCACGUAGGCGGAUUCCUAAGUCGGGGGUGAAAUCCUGGAGCUUAACUCCAGAACUGCCUUCGAUACUGGGAAUCUUGAGUCCGGAAGAGGUGAGUGGAACUGCGAGUGUAGAGGUGAAAUUCGUAGAUAUUCGCAAGAACACCAGUGGCGAAGGCGGCUCACUGGUCCGGUACUGACGCUGAGGUGCGAAAGCGUGGGGAGCGAUCCGG
rnacentral:rRNA from 1 species